rnacentral:rRNA from 1 species
CCCUUAGAUGUUCUGGGCCGCACGCGCGCUACAAUGGUCUUCGCAAACGGAUGCAUUCUCGAAGGAGAAUGCCAAUCUUGGAAUCUAUGCCUUGGUCGGGACAGUUGCUUGCAAUUUUUCGACUCGGACCAGGAAUUCCUUGUAAUCGUGAUUCAUCACAUCACGAUGAAUACGUCCCUGCCCUUUGUACACACCGCCCGUCGCUCCUACCGAUCGAAGAGUUAGGUGAAUUGUUUUGAUCGAUAAGAUUUGACUAUGGUCAACUCUCGUUGUGAAAUUCUGUGAAUCUGACUGUUUAGAGGAAGGAAAAGUCGUAACA